UAGCUACUCCCUCCGUUCCAAAUUACUUGUCUUCGAUUUGUCUAGAUACGGAUGUAUCUAGCACUAAAAUAAGUCUAGAUACAUCCGUAUCUAUACAAAUCUAAGACAAGUAAUUCAGAACGGAGGGAGUAGUAG
rnacentral:pre_miRNA from 1 species